GGCCAGACUCCUACGGGAGGCAGCAGUGAGGAAUAUUGGUCAAUGGGCGGGAGCCUGAACCAGCCAUGCCGCGUGAAGGCGAGUGCCCUACGGGCGUUAAACUUCUUUUGUGCGGGAGCAAUAAGGGCCACGCGUGGCCCGAUGAGAGUACCGCACGAAUAAGCAUCGGCUAACUCCGUGCCAGCAGCCGCGGUAAUACGUAGGGGGCGAGCGUUAUCCGGAAUUACUGGGUGUAAAGGGAGCGUAGACGGCGAGGUAAGCCUGAAGUGGAAGCCCGCGGCCCAACCGCGGAACUGCUUUGGGAACUGUUUUGCUGGAGUAUGGGAGGGGUAAGCGGAAUUCCUGGUGUAGCGGUGAAAUGCGUAGAUAUCAGGAGGAACACCGGUGGCGAAGGCGGCUUACUGGACCAUAACUGACGUUGAGGCUCGAAAGCGUGGGGAGCGAACAGGAUUAGAUACCCCCGUAA
rnacentral:rRNA from 1 species